CGCAGCUUUGUCAAAUUCAUUGCUCCCUCCUCAGUAGGGUGCAUUGGCCAAAAUGGCUGCAACAGUAACUGUAGUUCAUGGGCCUCAUGUCCCUUUAGCGUGGACACUGGGGAUAGAGAUGCUCUACAGACAAAU